rnacentral:rRNA from 1 species
CUCCUCCUAAAGAGUAACGGAGGAGCACGAAGGUUGGCUAAUCCUGGUCGGACAUCAGGAGGUUAGUGCAAUGGCAUAAGCCAGCUUGACUGCGAGCGUGACGGCGCGAGCAGGUGCGAAAGCAGGUCAUAGUGAUCCGGUGGUUCUGAAUGGAAGGGCCAUCGCUCAACGGAUAAAAGGUACUCCGGGGAUAACAGGCUGAUACCGCCCAAGAGUUCAUAUCGACGGCGGUGUUUGGCACCUCGAUGUCGGCUCAUCACAUCCUGGGGCUGAAGUAGGUCCCAAGGGUAUGGCUGUUCGCCAUUUAAAGUGGUACGCGAGCUGGGUUUAGAACGUCGUGAGACAGUUCGGUCCCUAUCUGCCGUGGGCGCUGGAGAACUGAGGGGGGCUGCUCCUAGUACGAGAGGACCGGAGUGGACGCAUCACUGGUGUUCGGGUUGUCAUGCCAAUGGCACUGCCCGGUAGCUAAAUGCGGAAGAGAUAAGUGCUGAAAGCAUCUAAGCACGAAACUUGCCCCGAGAUGAGUUCUCCCUGACUCCUUGAGAGUCCUGAAGGAACGUUGAAGACGACGACGUUGAUAGGCCGGGUGUGUAAGCGCAGCGAUGCGUUGAGCUAACCGGUACUAAUGAACCGUGAGG